UAUGUUACAGAAUUGGAUGGCUGAA
rnacentral:piRNA from 2 species